rnacentral:rRNA from 1 species
UACGUAGGGACCGAGCGUUGUCCGGAUUCAUUGGGCGUAAAGAGCUCGUAGGCGGCUGUUCAAGUCGAACGUGAAAACUCGGAGCUCAACUCCGAGCCUGCGUUCGAUACUGGACGGCUAGAGUCUGGUAGGGGGAUCUGGAAUUCCUGGUGUAGCGGUGGAAUGCGCAGAUAUCAGGAGGAACACCGGUGGCGAAGGCGGGAUCCUGGGCAGUUGCUGACGCUGAGGCGCGACAGCGUGGGGAGCAAACAGG